UUAACUCAAAUUUGUAUGGAGUUGGAACGUUUGCUUACGUUUGCCGCUAGGGGCGUUGUUCCAACUCCAUACAAAUUUGAGUUA
rnacentral:pre_miRNA from 1 species